UAAGAGAGAAAGAAUGAACAGAAGAUCUGCUAUAAAGGAGAAUGAGACUGCUGAUCGCUGUGAUGACACAUACACAACUCUUGAUCUCAAGACCAGAUCUUCUGAUGAUGUGUACAACACAAUCACACCCAACAGGAAGAUGAUGCAAUAAGAGGCGGAGCACAACCAAUCAAAUCCUUUCAUCACUUCUGUGGGUGGAGCUUCGGAUGAUUGACAGGGAUCAUAACAAUAAGUUAUUAAAGUGUUAUAUUUGUACUUCUUUAAAGCUUAUGAAGUCUGAUAUAUCAGUGGACAUAAAUAAAAAUAAGUUCUGUGUAAAAGUUGCUGAUACACACAUGUGUUCAAAUAAAUCAGAGGAUUAAAACAACUCCUGAAGUGAUGUUCAAUAGGAUACAAACUCACUGCUGUGACAUUUCACUGUUUACAGAAGACGUCAUUUUAACCUAAUUACAGAAAAAUCUUCAUUGCACAACUUCAGUCUUUUAGAUCAGCUUGUUUUUGUAUCUCUUGCACUUUUUUUAAGUUGGACAUUUCACUUGUAAUUACUGUAAGUGUCACAUGAACUUGUUCAACAACCUCAAACCACCACCAGAGGUCUCUAUCUGAUGUUUACUGACAUGAACAUUGAUCUGCAUCACUUCCUGCUUUGCUGGGAUGGCCACUUCCUCAUUUACCACCAGUAUCAAUCGCCAUCUACAGGAGAAACAUUAGAAAAGCAUUUGAGUUUGUUCUUUUCAAGAUCUCUUGUUAUUAAGAUGUAAUUACACCUGUAAUAAAGAA